rnacentral:rRNA from 1 species
GAUGAACGCUGGCGGCGUGCUUAACACAUGCAAGUCGAACGAUGAAGCUGGAGCUUGCUCCGGUGGAUUAGUGGCGAACGGGUGAGUAACACGUGAGCAAUCUGCCCUUGACCCUGGGAUAACUGCGGGAAACUGUAGCUAAUACCGGAUACGACACCUUGGGGCAUCCCAGGGUGUGGAAAGAAUUUCGGUCAAGGAUGAGCUCGCGGCCUAUCAGCUAGUUGGUAAGGUAAUGGCUCACCAAGGCGACGACGGGUAGCCGGCCUGAGAGGGUGACCGGCCACACUGGAACUGAGACACGGUCCAGACUCCUACGGGAGGCAGCAGUGGGGAAUAUUGCACAAUGGGCGAAAGCCUGAUGCAGCAACGCCGCGUGAGGGAUGAAGGCCUUCGGGUUGUAAACCUCUUUUAGCAGGGAAGAAGCGAAAGUGACGGUACCUGCAGAAAAAGCACCGGCUAACUACGUGCCAGCCGCCGCGGUAA